rnacentral:rRNA from 1 species
GAUGAACGCUAGCGGCAGGCUUAAUACAUGCAAGUCGAGGGGCAGCAGGACUGUAGCCAUCCAGUUGCUGGCGACCGGCAAACGGGUGCGGAACACGUACGCAACCUACCCAAAACUGGGGGAUAGCCCGGGGAAACCCGGAUUAAUACCUCGUAACUUUUUUAAGUGGCAUCACUUGAUAAGUAUAGCUCCGGCGGUUUUGGAUGGGCGUGCGCCUGAUUAGGUAGUUGGUGCGGGUAACGGCCCACCAAGCCUGCGAUCAGUAACUGGUGUGAGAGCACGACCAGUCACAAGGGCACUGAGACACGGGCCCGAAUCCUACGGGAGGCAGCAGUAAGGAAUAUUGGUCAAUGGACGCAAGUCUGAACCAGCCAUGCCGCGUGAAGGAUGAAGGUCCUCUGGAUUGUAAACUUCUUUUAUGGGGGACGAAACCCGGAUAUUCUUAUCCGAUUGACGGUACCUCAGGAAUAAGCACCGGCUAACUCCGUG